AAAAUUUUAGUUUAAGGAGAAAAUAUUUCAUUUACAAUGAAGAGUUUAAUAUAAAUUAAAAUUUUA
rnacentral:tRNA from 1 species